AUCCUUCUUCCUGUUCCCAUGGUUUUCCUCUACAGGGUCUCUAAUAUUUUUAGAGCUUUUCACUCAGCAUAGUUUGGAAGUUAUGAGUAUUUAUUAGCACAGAAUCAAUUUUUCUUAAUAUUUUUAUUAAAGUUUCUAGUUGGUCAAUAGGAGAAUGUGGAUGAUAAUUUUACCUGUGAAAAUGCUCUUGUUCUGUGACAGUUGAUUUCAUUAUCAACAUCAUGAUUAUGAUAUUGAGCAGUUGCAUGGAGAAAUCAGAAAACAGAGGACUAAGUCUAUAACUGUCUGUGAGAGCCUGAAUAAGUUACUAAACCACACAAUGCCAUCAAACAAUUUACUGAGUCUCAAAGUUGCCUGCUAUUUACUGGCCUAUUUUAACAGAGGGAACUUUUCAUUAGAAAUUCCUUAUAGUUCUAGAGUCAUAGGUCUGCCCAAAUUAUUGUUAUUGUUAAUAUUAUUAUUCUUAGAGAAGCCAUUAGUAUAGGUACCUAGAAAAGGAAGCGAAUGGAACACUCAUGUUAGAGUCAGGAAACUAACCGUGCUUCUGGUUGAAUGACCCGGGGCAAAUUACUUGACCUUUCUAAGUUGUAGUUUCCUCAUUUGCAAAAUAGGGAUAAUAAAAAAGCCAACUUCACAGAAUUGUGAGUAGCAAAUGAAAUAACAUACGUAAAACACUUCACAAAUCUGAAAAUGUUACCUAAAUAUUAACUUCAUCAUCAUCGAUACGGUAAGGGCAUCUCUCCUCUAACUAUGGAUGUGGACAUCCUCAAUCCUCACCCUUCCCUCAUGCUUGCACGGAGGUGGCUGUUUCCAUACAGUAUAUUCUUAACUUGAGAAGUUCUAUUUGGCUCCAUGAUAUGCAGAUGAUGGAACAUAUGGCCUCAACUGUUAAAUAUAUUCCCCCAAGUCACGUUGCCCAGCACUGAAGUAUAGCCACCUCAGGGGCAAAUGUCCAACAGCUCAGAUUGGUUUACAAUGGGGAAUGAAGACCAGAUGACGUUCCAGGAGGUGUUCAGAACAAGGCAGCAUGCUGUGACGCAAGUUUGAAUUUGGUAUCCAUUAUAGCAGAGAAGACCGUUUAAAAGAGGCAACAUCGAGAUCUCUCACUGCCAAAGGCUACUGAAUAGAAUAUACUUGCAAAUGGACCUAUUUUCUCUUCUUUACUUUGAAAUUUAGUGCUAAUGGAAGUUGAUGGGAUUGUCAAAUAUCUUGGGUUGGAUCUCUCCACUGAGAAAAAAAGAUCAUUCAUAAUGCUCAGCUUCUUUGCACAUCUUCACUUCUAGCAAUAACAUGGAGAUUUCUUCAAACCUAACAGUAAAACAACUCCAGAAGUUGACAAGCUACUCUCUCAGGGAACUAUGAGCCACGUGUCCACAGAUGGAUGCUGAAACCCUUUCAAUAUGGGAACUUCAGAAGUCCUUGUUGACAUCAUUUUAAGAUCUCUCUGUCUGAGGUGUGAUCAGGGAGCUUGCAGGGCAUUCAUCAGAAUCAAGCUGAUGCAAGCAUGAAUACUCACAGGAAAGGGCCCUUUUAUUCUGAAAACUGCUGAAGGCUGGAAAAGGGACUAAUUUAUUUAAAUUAGCACUCUAAGUGUCAAGCCCCAUAGUUUCUGGAAGAAUCUGACAACUAUGGGUUAAAGAAAGUUUUUCUUAAAUUUCCAAAUGAACCACUGCAAGGCUAAAAGUUAACCUAGAAAAUCAGAGUUACCUAGAAGUAAUCACUAUUGGUGUUGACACAGACUUUGGAAAAUAACAGUUUUCUGCUAUUAAGCUUUUAAAUGUCAGCAAAUGGCAGUUUGGUAGAUCAUUUGCUAAUAAUGAUUAAAUUUCUCAUUAAAAUGUUUCCUUCAUUAUUCUUCAGGUAGAAAUGUGUAAUUCAAUGAUUGUUACAUCAAUUAUACUUAAAAAGCUCAUUAAAAUACUGAAAUAUUAUCUCUCGUAGCCAGAGUACUUUAAGAGUACUGCACUAAUUACAAAAGGAAUAAACUCUUGUAAUAUCACCAUUUGAAUUGAUGCUUUAUAAAUUCUUAAUGUAAAGCUAACAUGUAAAGUUUAAAUCAAAUAUAUAGAUCCAAUAAAACAAACCCUUUUUAAUCUUGUUUUACCUUGGAAAGGGUUCUGAUUAUUGUAAUUAAAUAAUGCAUGAUAUAAUAAAGAUCUAGCGUGUGUGAUUA